GCUUUCGUGGUGUAAUGGUAGCACACUCGACGUGUAUUCAGGGCGUGCAGGUUCGAGUCCCGGCGAGGGCA
rnacentral:tRNA from 1 species